rnacentral:rRNA from 1 species
CCUACGGGGAGCAGCAGUGAGGAAUAUUGGUCAAUGGCCGGAAGGCUGAACCAGCCAUGCCGCGUGAAGGUCAGUGCCCUAUGGGCGUUAAACUUCUUUUGUGCGGGAGCAAUAAUGGUCACGUGUGGCCAGACGAGAGUACCGUACGAAUAAGCAUCGGCUAACUCCGUGCCAGCAGCCGCGGUAAUACGGGGGAUGCAAGCGUUAGCCGGAUUUAUUGGGUUUAAAGGGUGCGUAGGCUGUGAGGUAAGUCAGCGGUGAAAUGCCCCCGCUCAACGGGGUGAAGUGCCAUUGAUACUGCCUGGCUGGAAUGCGGAUGCCGUGGGAGGAAUGUGUGGUGUAGCGGUGAAAUGCAUAGAUAUCACACAGAACACCGAUUGCGAAGGCAUCUCACGAAUCCGCGAUUGACGCUGAUGCACGAAAGCGUGGGUAUCAAACAGGAUUAGAUACCCGAGUAGUC